rnacentral:misc_RNA from 1 species
UUCCCUUCGCUCUUUCCAUUCAUCAAUAACAAGCCCUUCACCUACAACUCUGGGGCCUGUGUCUUCAGGAGGCUUCUUGCGUGCCUCUAGCUCAGCUUCUGCUUCAGCCAAUUGUCUCCGAAGUUUUUCUAGUGCAGGGUUAGAGCAUUCCGGAUCAAGAAAAAUGACACGCAAAAUUUGUUCAACAGCUACUUGAUCCUUCUGCUCGUCAAACAUCUCAGGCACAUAUUCCAUUUCUCCUUUGACUUUUAAGCUCAUGAUCUUGAACUUGACCCUGCUUUUUUGAUCCAAUGGUUUCUCAUUGUUCUCAGGAGGCUCCACAAAUUUGAAUACUGUUAAUUAGGCCAUGAUUCAGAAAGUAAUUAAUCCCUUAAAUCUAAAUUGUUACUGAAAUAGUAUAUGAUCCUUUGUACAAAGGGAAGGAAAGCCAGAAUUUGUAAAGAUUUGAUGAAUUACCAGUAGCAAUAAGACUUUCACCUGGAGCAAGUAUACCUCCGGGAGGUCUCAUGUAACAACUCUUUGGUGCAGUUGUUUGGAACUACAGAAACCAAUAAGAAUGUCCAAUAAUUUGUUGAACUAGGUAAUAGAUUAAACAGCAUCUCAAUUUACAAUAGUACAAUGUGAUACAAGUAACAUCAAUUAAGUUAUUAUUAAAUACUUUAUGCUUUAUUGAAACAUUUUCAGCAGCAUGAGAACAAGAAGAAAAAUUGACCAAUAUGCAUCAAAUUUACAAAAUUUAGUGCAGUAGUUUUAAAUGAACAACUUUGUUUUAAUAUAUAGAUUAGGUGUUCCACUACUCAGUCUGCACUCAUAGGUGGUACAGCUAACACAUGGGUCCCAAUUGGCACAAUUCAGGCCUUUUUUUUUUUUUCAAAUUUAAGCAGAAAGUGCUAAUAUUGUCACAUUGCCGUUAGCUCCUUUGAUCCAGGUUGGCAUCAGAAUUAUUGAAGAACUACUUAUGAAACUGAAUUAUUGAAGAACUACUUAUGAAACUAUCAUAUCCACGAUUUGAGAAUAGAAAAUAGUAUAAACAAUGAACAGAGAAAUCGAUUUGACAAUAUUCCAUACCUUGAAAGCCACAUGAGAUUUAGAAAUGUUUUUAAUGCCAAUAGCACUCCUCACCUGUUUACCCGGUUCAUAAGGAAAGUAGAGCUUGUUAGAAGGAUCAAGCCUAAGUCUUCUUCUUGUUGGCAAAAGAGACUUGGCUACAAGAGACACCGCAUUGGUAGAAUAAACAAUCGAUCUCUCUGCUCCUCCUAGCUGGUGAGUCUGGCUCUGCUGGCAAGCGUUACUGCCGGUGAUACUAUUAUUACUGCUCAUAGAACUGGAAGACGUGCAAGUGGAAGAAGAAGAGGAAGAGGAAGAGGAGGAAGAA